CAGCCGCCGCGGUAAUACGGAGGGUGCAAGCGUUAAUCGGAAUUACUGGGCGUAAAGCGCACGCAGGCGGUCUGUCAAGUCGGAUGUGAAAUCCCCGGGCUCAACCUGGGAACUGCAUUCGAAACUGGCAGGCUAGAGUCUUGUAGAGGGGGGUAGAAUUCCAGGUGUAGCGGUGAAAUGCGUAGAGAUCUGGAGGAAUACCGGUGGCGAAGGCGGCCCCCUGGACAAAGACUGACGCUCAGGUGCGAAAGCGUGGGAAGCAAACAGGAUUAGAUACCCGAGUAGUCCCUGUCUCUUAUAC
rnacentral:rRNA from 1 species